rnacentral:rRNA from 1 species
CCUACGGGAGGCAGCAGUCGAGAAUCAUUCACAAUGGGGGAAACCCUGAUGGGGCGACGCCGCGUGGGGGAAUGAAGGUCUUCGGAUUGUAAACCCCUGUCAUGUGGGAGCAAAUUAAAAAGAUAGUACCACAAGAGGAAGAGACGGCUAACUCUGUGCCAGCAGCCGCGGUAAUACAGAGGUCUCAAGCGUUGUUCGGAAUCACUGGGCGUAAAGCGUGCGUAGGCUGUUUCGUAAGUCGUGUGUGAAAGGCACGGGCUCAACCCGCGGACGGCACAUGAUACUGCGAGACUAGAGUAAUGGAGGGGGAACCGGAAUUCUCGGUGUAGCAGUGAAAUGCGUAGAUAUCGAGAGGAACACUCGUGGCGAAGGCGGGUUCCUGGACAUUAACUGACGCUGAGGCACGAAGGCCAGGGGAGCGAAAGGGAUUAGAUACCCGAGUAGUC